UACGUAGGUGGCAAGCGUUGUCCGGAUUUAUUGGGCGUAAAGCGAGCGCAGGCGGAAUGAUAAGUCUGAUGUGAAAGCCCACGGCUCAACCGUGGAACUGCAUCGGAAACUGUCAUUCUUGAGUGCAGAAGAGGAGAGUGGAACUCCAUGUGUAGCGGUGGAAUGCGUAGAUAUAUGGAAGAACACCAGUGGCGAAGGCGGCUCUCUGGUCUGCAACUGACGCUGAGGCUCGAAAGCAUGGGUAGCGA
rnacentral:rRNA from 1 species